rnacentral:tRNA from 1 species
GCCGUCGUGGUGGAAUUGGUAGACACGCCGUCUUGAGGGGGCGGUGGCGAAAGCCGUGAGAGUUCGAGUCUCUCCGUCGGCACCA